AAAACAUAGCCUCUUGAAAAUAUAUAAGAGGUGCCCACUGCCCAGUGAAUCAUAAACGGCCGCGGUAACUUGACCGUGCUAAGGUAGCAUAAUAAUUUGCCUCCCAAUUAGAGGAUGGAAUGAACGUGAAAACAAUAAGCAAAUUGUCUCUUAUGCUAAAUUAAAAAUUUAUCUGGGGGUGAAAAAGCCCCUAUACUAUCAAAAGACAAAAAGACCCUAGAAGCUUUUAAACCUAACAAUUUAUUAGGUAAGUUUUUUAGCUGGGAGGGCAAAAAGUUAUCAAUACACUUUUUUACAGAAGAUAUUAAAUCGAAAAUACUUAACCCCAACAAGAAUAUAAGUAAGCUACUCUAGGGGUAACAGGCUAAUACUCCUUAAGAGUACACAUUGACAGGAGUGAUUGGCACCUCGAUGUUGGCUUAGGAAAAUUAUUUUAUGCAGAAGUAAAAAUAAUUGGUUUGUUCAACCUUUAAUCUCCUACAUGAUC
rnacentral:rRNA from 1 species